rnacentral:rRNA from 1 species
AAUGAACGUUGGCGGCGUGGAUUAGGCAUGCAAGUCGAGCGAGAAUCUGUGGAUUGAUCCUUCGGGUGAUUUCCUCAGAGGACAGCGGCAAACGGCGUAGUAAUGCGUAGGUACGUACCCUCAGGUCGGGGAUAGCCACGGGAAACUGUGGGUAAUACCCGAUGAUCUCUGCGGAGCAAAGGUGUGAUUCCGCCUGAGGAGCGGCUUACGUGAUAUUAGCUUGUUGGUGGGGUAAUGGCCUACCAAGGCGACGAUGUCUCGGGGGUGUGAGAGCAUGGCCCCCACGACCGGAACUGAGACACUGUCCGGACACCUACGGGUGGCUGCAGUCGAGAAUCUUCCGCAAUGGGCGAAAGCCUGACGGAGCGACGCCGCGUGCAGGAUGAAGGCCCUUGGGUUGUAAACUGCUGUCAGAGGGGAUGAAAUCACGGUGGGCUAUCCCUCCGUGUUGACAGAGCCUCAAAGGAAGCACGGGCUAAGUACGUGCCAGCCGCCGCCGUAACAC